rnacentral:rRNA from 1 species
CCCAGACUCCUACGGGAGGCAGCAGUGGGGGAUAUUGCACAAUGGGGGGAACCCUGAUGCAGCGACGCCGCGUGGGUGAAGGAGCGUUUCGGCGCGUAAAGCCCUAUCGGCAGGGAAGAAGAUGACGGUACCUGACCAAGAAGCCCCGGCUAACUACGUGCCAGCAGCCGCGGUAAUACGUAGGGGGCAAGCGUUAUCCGGAUUCACUGGGUGUAAAGGGAGCGUAGACGGCGAGACAAGUCUGGAGUGAAAGGCCGGGGCCCAACCCCGGGACUGCUUUGGAAACUGUAUAACUGGAGUGCAGGAGAGGUAAGUGGAAUUCCUAGUGUAGCGGUGAAAUGCGUAGAUAUUAGGAGGAACACCAGUGGCGAAGGCGGCUUACUGGACUGUAACUGACGUUGAGGCUCGAAAGCGUGGGGAGCAAACAGGAUUAGAUACCCCAGUAG